rnacentral:rRNA from 1 species
GACGAACGCUGGCGGCGUGCUUAACACAUGCAAGUCGAACGGAAAGGCCCUGCUUUUGUGGGGUGCUCGAGUGGCGAACGGGUGAGUAACACGUGAGUAACCUGCCCUUGACUUUGGGAUAACUUCAGGAAACUGGGGCUAAUACCGGAUAGGAGCUCCUGCUGCAUGGUGGGGGUUGGAAAGUUUCGGCGGUUGGGGAUGGACUCGCGGCUUAUCAGCUUGUUGGUGGGGUAGUGGCUUACCAAGGCUUUGACGGGUAGCCGGCCUGAGAGGGUGACCUGCCACAUUGGGACUGAGAUACGGCCCAGACUCCUACGGGAGGCAGCAGUGGGGAAUAUUGCACAAUGGGCGGAAGCCUGAUGCAGCAACGCCGCGUGCGGGAUGACGGCCUUCGGGUUGUAAACCGCUUUCGCCUGUGACGAAGCGUGAGUGACGGUAAUGGGUAAAGAAGCACCGGCUAACCACGUG